CGAACGGGUGAGUAACACGUAGACAACCUGCCCCCUGGCCCGGGACAACCUCUGGAAACGGAGGCUGAUACCGGACGGGCAGGAGAGGGGCAUCCCUCUCCUGUGAAAGGCCCUGCAAGGGGCCGCGAGGGGAUGGGUCUGCGGUGCAUUAGCUAGUUGGCGGGGCAGCGGCCCACCAAGGCGACGAUGCAUAGCCGGCCUGAGAGGGCGGACGGCCACAUUGGGACUGAGACACGGCCCAGACUCCUACGGGAGGCAGCAUG
rnacentral:rRNA from 1 species